AUGAGACUAGCAUAAUUGAAGGGGCUUUUCAAUUUUUUAAAGACUUGUUUUCUGAGCAACAAGGCAAUUUGUUAGAGGAUGUGGCUCAACUCAUCCUGGAAGUUAUUUCUUCUAAAAUGAAUGAGGAGUUGUGUAAGCCUUCUCAGAGGAUGAAAUACGGAAUGCAGUGUUCAAUUUAGGGGUACCCUGAUGGUUUUAGUGGCUUUUUCUUUCAAUCAUAUUGGGAUGUCAUAAAG
rnacentral:misc_RNA from 1 species